CUUAAGUACAUGCAGAUCCUGGGAAACAAUUAGCAUCUAGUUUCCCGGCUUGUAAGUGGCUAACCCACUAGCCAGCUGUCCAACUCAGCCUUGAAGGCCUGGGCAGACAAUGUGUGACGGCCAUCAUGUAACCUGCCUCUGCUUCUAAGGGAAAUUGUCCCCUCUUCCUCCCGCUUUCCUGAUAGUUUUUCCUAAGUUUUCAUGGAGCAAGUGGAGAGCAGCUUUCUGUUCUUCUUUUGAAACAUUAAUCCCACUCCUCUCACAUCUCAUUCAAUUCUGAGUGAUGAGCAUGGUUUCAAGGGCAGAAAUCGUGAAAGAGAUCCAUCGAUCUGACUAUGUACAAUUUAAAACUCUUAUAUGUAAAAAGCCAUAAAAAAGGUGAAAAGACAGACUGCUUAAAGGGGAAAAUUAUUUGCAAGAUAUAUGACAACAGUUAAUACCCUUAAAACUAAAUUUUUCUUGUAAACAUAGAAAGAAAAGAUAGACCCCUUGAUAUUAAAAUGCAUCAAGGUCAUCAAAGGGAAAUUCACAAAAGAAGAAAUGCAAUUAAACAACAAGCCUAUGAAAACAUAGUCAGUUUAUUAACAAACAAAGAAAUCAAAAUUUUAGCAUAGUUGCAUUGUUCAGCUUUCAUUUAAAAAAUGGAAAUACACAGUGUUGGUGACGGUGGAAACAGACGUUCUUGUAUACGGCCAGUAGAAAUGCAAAUAGGUGUAGAGUUUCUGAUGGACAAUUUGUCAGUGUGAAUCAGAAGAUCAAAAAUAUUUACAUUUUGACCUAACAAGUCUGCAACAAUGAUUUUAUCCUAAGGAAAUAAUAAGACUUGGCUAUAAGUUUAUAUACUUUUUAUAAGUCAAAAUUGGGAACAAUUUAAAUGUUCAAGAGGAGGAAAUUGGUGGAGUAAAUCAUGAUAUGAUGAACUGAAUGCAGAAGAAAAGGUCACAAUAAACAAUAUAGGGUAGUUUUUGUUUCUCCAAAAGUGUGUGCCAGGUGUGUGUCUCUUGGAAGGCUGUCCACCUGGCGUUGGCCCUGCGUGUGGGAUAAUGGCUAUCGCUCUGCUGUCUUUGGUUGUUGUUGCUGUUCUAAUGUUUCUAAAUUGAACAUGUAUUGCUUUCCAAUUGAUUUCUUUUUAAUUCUAAGUGGGCCUCCCACUUAGGCAAAAGCUCCCAGUACGGAGGGUGGGCCCAGCCAGCCCCUGCCUUCGUGUGUGUGAGGUUCCGGGGAAAAUCCGAUGGAUGAGUCAUUCCAGUUUCUCCCUCAGCAUACUCACUGCAGUCUAGGGGGUGUCUCUUGCUCUAUCUUACCUGACUCUUUUUCUUACCCAAACUAAGACUCUUGGGGAAACAGACUAAAGGGAAGACAGUAAGAAGCAGAGGAGGAGGAGAAGACAACAUUCUCGGAGGUCUUGCUUUUGGGUCAAUUCCUAUUCCCUGGCUAGUGAAACCCCUUUGGCCCUGGCUCCCACCUCCUUCUCUCUGUGUCAAUGUCAAGCGCUAGCGAGGAUCAGGUUGUGUCAACACUGUGGCAGUUCACACCCGACUAAAUGUCUUGAAUUGUUGGAUGUUAGAGCGGAAAGAAAUUCAGGUAGCAAUCUGGUCUCCUCUCCACAUUUCAGUUGAGCAUCCUGAGCCCAGGGAGGCGCUGGCGUGUGCCUACUCCCCUUGUCUGAGUCAGCAACCUAACCCCCAGCCUCUGGGACCUGUGCUUCAAACUCUGGGGCCGCCUCUGCUUCCUCCUGAGGGCAAGGGGUCAGCUUUGCCUCCUACAGCUUGUGAGCCGCCUCAGCUUAGGAAUCACUGGGUCCAGCCUCACCUUCCUACAUAACCUCCAUCUCUGCUCCUUGCUGGCUCCGCUGUGCCCUCGUUAGACCUUCCAACAAGCCCAGGUGGGAAAUGGGAACAAGGAGCCAAGUGUGUAUGUAGCAUUUUACACUAAAAACUGAGUAUGCCGUGGCUUCAGGGAUGCUCAGAAAGGCCACACCAUGUGUCUGUUUGCAGCCCAGUCCCAUUGAUGUUUAGCUUGGUUGUACCUGGGUGGUCACAUCGGAAUCAGCAUCAGCAUCCGCAGCCAUUUUCAUGGCCAAGAAAUGACGUGGGUGUUCUUAUCAGGGCAGCCUCAGGCAACCAGACACCAAUGCAUCCUCCGAGGUGGGAGACUCCUGUCCCUGAGGGUCUACUCCUCUGCAGGUGUCAAAUCUUCCUGAGCAAAUCCUUUUUCUUUUCCUUUUGUCUGUCCCGCCCACACGGCAUGGGGGACAGAAUCAACCCACGGAAACAGUUCCUGUGUGAAGUCUGGGUUCCUGAAAUGAGAGUCACCCAGCCUGGAAGUCCCCCAAGGGGUAAAUGCCUCUGAAGAAGAAAGGGAUUGCUUAGCUAAAGUGUGAAUUUGUGAACUAAGAAGCUGUGAUGCUAGGGACACAGGGAAACCGAUCCCCUCCCAGCUGCUGGGCUUGGGAACAGGAGCCCAGGACACAGGGAGGUGGUGCCAGCUGCCCAGAGUAGAGGAGACAGAGCGAGAGCCUGACCCGGAGGAGAGCAGGACGGCCGGACGGAGGCGCCCGCUGGCCAAGGCCCGGGGCGGGGUCCACCACGGCCUAAAGGAGCUGGAAGUCCACGCAGCUCUUCAGCAAACAGCAAGAGCCCAAUAAAUGACGGUUGUAUGAACAACUGAACGGAGAAGGUGAAAGAAGUGGUGGUGGGAUGGAAUUCAAGCUAGAAGACCCAGGUUUAAAAUGUGAUUUCUAACUUUUCCUGCUCGCUAGCUGUGCAGUCCUCAAAGCCCUCGCUGAGCCUGUUUUGUCAUGUUUAAAAUGGCGAGGUGGGGCACGGGGCAAUCCUUCUGCUUGUUCAGUUUAGCUCAAGAGGUUGUGAUGAAGGCCAGAUAAAGGCACUGAUGAGAAACCUACAGUAUACGCUGGAAAGUUCAGGACAGCGUUGUGAUGAGAGCCUGUGAAAAAUGUAUGGGAAAAUCAUCAAGAGAAGGUUUCUGGGAUUUAGUUCAGCCACGGCCAGAUCCCACACCAAGAGAGAGGGCAAUCUCCUCAGCGUCAGGGAGCUGGGCAAAAAGAGCGGUCACCC
ensembl:lncRNA